AUGGAAAACAACACAUCUAUUUACUGUAUGUUGUUUGUUUACUCGUUAAUCUGUUUGUUAUUUUCAGACUCUUUUCCUCACCCCUGCCAGGCAGUGGGAUAUUUGGUGAUGCUAUCUGUGUGUGUGUCUGUUUGUUUGUUUACUUGUUUGUGUUUGCAUAAUGACCUUAGGGACCAACAUCACUGGGAAAAACCUUCAUGGUCUAUGAGGGCAUUGCUGGACAAAAGCAAGGACACUGCAAGUGAACAAGAGCCAUGCAGCCCUUCAGACAUAUUACAGUCAAAGACAAAGAUAACAAGUGGAGAGGCAGGCAACUGGCAACUGAUGACAGGGUCGAGAGGAGAGUCAGGAUGAGGGGGGGCAACCAAUAAGAUGCUUAGGUGAUGCCACUGAAGAGUGAUGACAUCGGCGAGUGAUGCAACACUUUCUCCACAUCUUUCUGGGAAAGGAUUUGAGAAAGCACUGAUAAGGUGAGGAGAACACAAUAGGGCCACCUACCGUCACCAGAGUUCUCAGAGGAGUGAAAAAACAUAUUGUUUCAUGGAAAAGACAGUCAAAAGGCUUUUAAAGACUUCCAUGUAACGAGAGGAAGGAAAAGAGAUGGUAUGACAUCUACAUAGUGCUCCCUGUGCCUUUUCUGCCUCGUUAAAUCAAAUGAUUCCAGAAUUGGUCCAUAAGCGACUCCCACACUUCCCUUUUCUCACUGUCUGACUAUAUUAGAGCUUAUAAUUAAGGUAAUUACUUUCAAAGAACUCAUAAUAGGAUUCUUCUUCUUUCUAAUUUUUACUCACAUGGCACGGUAAAUACAAUUUAAUAUGCAUAGCCCCUUAAACAACAAACUGACCCACAUUUCUCAUCUCUUUGCAUCAGAAAGGAAGAGUAAUCGGGGAGGCUGUAAUGGCCAAGACGAACUGCUUUAUUAUUUAUCAAAAAUAUGGAAAAUGAAGCGAGGGGAUUUGGUGAUUAAAGUCUGAACUGAAACCUCUCUGAACAGUUUGCUUAAUAUUUAAUCACCUAUUAGCUCUUCUUCUUCUUCCUAAUUAAUUUUAUGUAACAAUCAUUUUCCAUUCACAUAUUUAAUUUCCCGCCAAUGUACCUUUUCAUUUAAUAUGUUUUGGGUGUUAAUCUGAAAGCCCUGGAAGUGCAGAUGUGAUGGUAAAUUUAGCAGAUGGUAAAGUACCU
rnacentral:lncRNA from 1 species